rnacentral:rRNA from 1 species
UGGGGAAUUGUUCACAAUGGGCGCAAGCCUGAUGACGCAACGCCGCGUGGGGGAUGAAGGUCUUCGGAUCGUAAACCCUUGUCGAACGGAAAGAAUGACUCGCGCCUUAAUACUGCGCGGGACUGACGGUACCGUUAAAGGAAGCCACGGCUAACUCUGUGCCAGCAGCCGCGGUAAUACAGAGGUGGCAAGCGUUGUUCGGAAUUACUGGGCGUAAAGGGCGCGUAGGCGGCCAUCUAAGUCAGACGUGAAAUCCCCCGGCUUAACCUGGGAACUGCGUCUGAUACUGGACGGCUCGAGUUUGGGAGAGGGAUGUGGAAUUCCAGGUGUAGCGGUGAAAUGCGUAGAUAUCUGGAGGAACACCGGUGGCGAAGGCGGCAUCCUGGACCAACACUGACGCUGAGGCGCGAAAGCUAGGGGAGCAAACGGG